AUCCAGAGUGAGGAACUCAACCAAGCCUUCCACCAGCUCCUGGUGCACUCUGGAGAAACUGAGACAGCAGCACACCCCUCCCCACUGGGGGAACCCAGAUUGAACUCAGGCCCUUGCGCUUGCCAGGGCUACUCUGGAAUCAGGAAAUUCCAGUGAGACAGAGCGUGCUGCCCUGACCAUGUCUGCCCUGACAAUCAUGAGCAGACGCCCAGACAGAAUUCCUGCAAAAUGGGGGGCCGGUGAUCCCCACUGCAGCCGCCUCACACGGCCACCUGAAGUCACAGCGUGAAUGUCAGAUCUGUCUCACCUUGCCUCACCCAGUGUCUUGUCUCUGACGAACAAACUCUGUGCAUUGG